GUGAAUUUGUAAUAUUUAAUAUUCAGUUUCUGUAUUCACUUAGAUGUUGAGUAGGCCUAAUUUGUAAGAUGGUAUCAUUGUUUUGCUUACAUACCGAUAGUAUUAGAGUAGACUACUUUUGCCCAUUUUAGUCCAUUUGAUAGUAUUUGUUUUAUAUGUAACAUUUCUAAAACAAUGUUGAGUAAGUUUUAGGUUAUUAUGUUAAGUCGAUUAUAGUUUUUUAAGAUGAUUUAUGUUUUGAAAAACUUUGUACAUCAAGAUCUUGCUUUUGCCAAUGUUCUGAUUAGUUAUUCGGAUUUGGUUUGGGAUUUUGAAGAUAGAUAAACUUUUAAUCUAUUAGAGCGGUAGGAAGACACAUACUUUUUUAUUCAAAGUUAUUUGUCUAUCCAUGGUCGAUAAUUGUCACAUUUAGCAAGUAUAAUCUUUUUUGAAAUGAUAAUACUAGCAUAGAUUUGGACCAACUGAUGCAUGUUUGUCAAAUUCUAAUACAAUUAUCCAGACCAGUUUCCUCAUUUGUGUUGGCACAUUAAUGCACCUCACCUGUUCGAUACAAUGUCUGAACCAUGAUGAUCAAUUAACAACCAAAACUAACCCAUCUAAUCAAACUGGGUAUACAGAACCAGAAUCAUUUCAAGUUGAGAAUAGUCUAUAAUUCGAUUCUCCAUUAGCUCACAUUAUUAGUGAUGUCAAGUGUAGUUGUAGAGAGCUUUCUUUUUAAGUUGAAUAAAGUCGAACCACUUGGAAGAUUGUGUGUUUAUAAGUUAUAACAGCAGCAAAACUGAUAAUUGAAAAGAAAAGGUUUUAUUUUAACUUAAAGGCAUUUCAAUCUCCAUGGUUGAUACUUAAAAAUGCUAUUAGAACCAAAAUAAUUGUUUGAAUUAUAGAUACAGUGUUUCUGAAAAAAAAAAAACUACUAAUAAUUUAUAAAAUAUAAUCAAUGCUAGAAAGUUAGUGUUGAUUCUUUUUAUUAUUUAGCACUUUGUUUAAUUAUAAGUUAAGUAUUUGAUUGAAACAUUUUCACUCAAUUAGUUGUUAGCCCAAAUAGAGAUUAUUCAGAACCCUAUGAAACAUCAUUUUUUUGUUUUGUUUUUUUUUUUUUUUUUGUGUGUGUCAGUAUAUUGUGUUGAUUGAAACUAGAACUUCAUCAUUGGUAGCAAAAGUUUCAAAUGUCCAUUUAGGUCUAGAAAGUCGAGGCAAGAGGUGAGGGCUUCACGGACGUAAGGUGUUGCUCCGUGUACCACCAAAUAAGCUUUUGUACAACCAGAAGCCGCAUCUUAUCUUUUUUACAUGCCAGCCUUUUCGUCAAGAAAACCAUUUAAUAAUUUCCCUCAUUUGGUUGGUUGUUUUUACAUAUAAGGCUCCUACAUACCCUGGUUUUGACCAAUUCUGACCUACGUCAAGUUUGGACACUUUAACUCCUUAAUAUCAACCGCGUUGUGGAGAUCCUAAAACCGUGCUAAGGACUUGGUGGUCCAGGCCUCAGUCUACUACUCUUACAAAAAAAACUUGCGUGAUCCAUUAAAUAGAUUUGCAACAAAUCUGAAGUAAGUUGCAUAUAGUGUUGUGAGAGAGAACGUGUCAUUCAUGUCUAUUCUAUAUUUUCGUACGUCCUGUAAGUUUUUUUAUAAUUUUUUUUGAACAUGUCUAUUUUUUUCCAUGUAAUAAUAUAGAAAACGUUGCAUUGGUUAUGAAGUGGUAGUUUAAUUAUCUCUUUCUGGUUUGCUUCUUGCUGAUUGGGGUGUGUAACGGGUCAAAAUGGGUUUGUAGUAAAAUGUUCGGGUCAAUACGGGUCGUUUUUUUUUUUGAAAAAAAAAAACCCUAUCACUUUGGUUCGAUGGCACCGGUCGUUUGAAAAAUAAAACUAUGUUGUUUUGAUUUAUUUACAUCUUACACUUAAACCUAUUAUAUCAUAAGUUAGUAGGAAAUAUAAUAUUAAACUGAACCAAACACAAAAAAAAGUAGCAGUAAACCGAACUUAAAUUAGAUUUUUAAGGAUUAGGCUCCGUUCAUUUGCCUUAAUUUCCUUCAUGUAGUGCGUCUGGUCUUCAUCUUAUCAUAGAUGUAGACGUAUGUCCCUCUUUUCGGUUCAUUAUUUUAUGUCAUUGUUGGUAUUUGUUUUUAAAAUGGCGUUUUGGUUUUCUACCAAAGGUUGCAAGACACUUUAACCGAAUAUAUUUAGGUUAUUAAAUCUUGAAGGGUUGUCAUUUUGUCCUUUCUUGUAGUAUUUCAGUCGACCUUAGUCCAUGUGUAAUGAUGAAAAUGGAUUGAAGUCAAGGAUAUGAUACUUGCAAAGUUUAAUGUUUAAAGGCUUUUUUAAGGUGUUAUGAAGCUUGAAGCUACAAUGUUAAAGACUGCCAGAAGUGAUCAUGCAUGUACUCCCAAACAAUUGCACAUCAAUGAAAAAGUUGCUAAUCUUGAAAAGACACAUGGUGGAUGAUGUCCCCAUUGAGGUUAUUGGUGAUGUUCUUAGAGUUUGACAAAUCCUCACCAACUACCACUUGAAAAGGUGAGAUUUUUUUAACAAAUUUAUCUCUUUAUAUUUAUUUUCUAUCCAUCAGGUUGAUAAUUUUUCGGUUUUUAGGACCAAUUGAAAGAUCCAAAUCAUUUCUCUUGAAGAAGUGGGUCAAACCCACAACGUUCUUUUUAUAUUUACUUUGUGUUUAAUUAAUUGGCACAAACAUGAUGUGUAUUGUUGUAUUUAUGAUGUGUAGUUAAUUGAUUUUUUAAUAUGAUUUUUAAAAAGUAGAUUGUUACAUUGAGAAUUAAAAUUUUAAAUUAUAUUGGAAUGGAAUAAUUUAAGAGGU
rnacentral:lncRNA from 1 species